GCAUUUUCCCCAGCUACACAAAUCCUGUCCAGGGGACAGGUGCAUUCCCGCUACCCAGCCUUAAAUGCUCUCAUGGCAGGGCUCUCAGAAGAAAGGAAGAGGCCCUGCUCUUGGCCACUCCACCACCAAAGCCCUGAGGGGCCCAGCCUCUUCCUGGCAACAGAUGCAGCCGUUUUAUUAGAGAAUUAUGCCCAUUCCAUCGAUGUGAAAGGUUAAGCUUUCUGAUAACGAUGGAGGCAGCGGCUCGUGGUCAGGACGGGACAGGCCUAAGAACAGGACAGAAAUGACAAUCCUAUAUGGGCCAAGAAACCUACCGGAAGAGCAGGAGACAGACGAAGAGACUGAACACACGGAAGAAGGAACGAGAGGGCAUUUGCGUGCGCCCACCAGAAAAUGUGCAAGGGGCCGGGGAAGGUGCAUCUUAAAGAAAACAGAUUUUGUGACAAAAAAUACAGAUUUUGGCUUUUGCAAGGACUAAAUCCCCUGUGGCGCCUCAGACAAUGAUUUCCAGUCGGGAACCGUGGGUCGUCUUUGGACGAUGAGGAGGUGGCCCCACGUCAUCUCUGAGGGCUCCCGAGCCUUCCUACGCUGCGGCAAUGACCUCGGGGCACGGAGAUGCCCUGGACGGUCCGACCCCCGGCCCAGGGAAGCAAAGAUCCGGGGAUGAACUAGGGCAGGGGAACUUAAGCACACAACUACGUGACCAGGUGCAUUCUCCUGGGGACGGGAGACUCCAGAGCUAUCCUCAGGGCCCGUGGCUGCAGGAGUCUGAAGACCCGGGGCUCAGGGGCUUCCUAGGUCAGAAACGCCCGGCUCCGGGGCCACCUAACCCAGCCCGCGCCUCCCCUUCCUGCCCUCGGCAAGUCGGAGCCUCCAGAUGCGCGGGCAGAGGCCUCCCCUCCAGAAGUCCCUCGUCCCUCUGAGCCUUGGGCCGGGGUUUACCUGCUCACAGGCCCUGGCCUGCGGCUCCUCACGCCUCCGGUUCCACUUUUAGGGGAACACGGCCCGGACAGUCACUGUGGGCGCCGCCAUGUUGGCAGAACAACAACUUUAUCGGU